UCAUUUCUUCUUCUUAUGCUUUAAUCCCAACUAAUUGAUGACAGCAAUUCUUUGUCUGUUACUGAUGAGUUCUCUAACCUUAGCGAGUGGAAGGGGGGAACCUGAUGGUGAUUUAUAAGCUUUCAGAGAAGGAAGGACCUGUGAGUUUUUUGGAUGGAAUGUACCUAAGAUUUCCCCAAAAGUUGGCUCUGCUUCUAAAUUGCAGAGUACAAAGUAUUCGGGUAUUUUUUUCCCCCUCUUGUGGUUGGCGGCUUUGGAUAGGAAAAAAGAAAAUAAAUCUCUCCACUAAAAUUUAUUCUGCAUCUGUUUUUUUUUAUUUAUUUAUUUUUUAAUCAUUGAAAGUUUUGGAUUGCAAAUGAAAUAUCUACUUUUCAGGGCAACCCCAAGGUAUUUUUGUCCUAUCCCAUUUAAGUGAAAACGAGGCACUGUCAGGGGCAAACUGCUCAGUGGCUCUGCCUUUUUGUCCGGCGUCUUGUCCAUUUUUGUUCCCCGUGACAAAAAUCAGAAACCUGCAGAUGAGUAGCUAUGGAUUACUGGAGAUUAGUUUGAAGCGGGGGGGCAGUGUGUGUAUAUAUGUGAUGUGUGUGGGGAGGGGGGUGUGAAUGCGCAUGCAUUUCUGUGUCUGGAGCUGGAAGAAAAAGAAACUGCUAUUUUAAACUGAGCAUUAACUCACUCUUGGGAUGUGAAUUCUGAAUCAGCGCUAUUUUCUCCUGUGAACAUAUAAAUGCGCAUAUUGAAACUACCUGCUUGAGAGACAUACUUCUUUAUAUGCCCAUAUGAACCUGGCAAGCUAUGGAAUGUAAAGAAGUAUGUAUUUCAGGUGGGGAUCAUUCUCAGUGGAGCAAUCUGUAUGUGACCCAGUGUAAAAAGGGGAGAAAGACAGACGGAUGAUUUUUUUUUUAAAUGCCUGACAUGGCAGACUGACUGGGGAGUCAAUUGAUGAUCUUGUUCCAGUGCGUGUAUUGUUCUGUCACUUUGCCUGUGUCAGCAGGUGGAAAUGCUCAUCAGGACAUUAAAUAUUCAAUAUGCUGACUGCGGCAUGGGCUUUGAAAGGCAAUGCCAGAAGAAAGCUUGCUGUCCACUUCUGUUUUUUAGCAGGGAUACAGGCCAGUGGCUCUUUGCGUGUGUGCUUUCCCCCCCCUCCAAAAGGAGACUAGAAAGCUACAGCAUAUAGGGGUUGAUAUUUAAAGCCAGGAAAAAAAAAAAACCCAGAGAAAGACAAGGGAGGAGAGAAAGUGAGUGUGAGAGAGAGAGAGAAUAUGUAGAGCAAUUUUGUCAUGGCUGUGCAGCAUGUUAGCUCUUAAUUAAUGUGCAAAGUCAGGCUUUUUUGAACUUUUCCCGUGUUAAAAGUUUUCAUGCUUAAAAAGCAGACAGAAAGGCAAGCUUAUUUGUCAUGAGGAUAGCCCUGGAAACAACCCUCCCCAUGACUGAAAUAACUAAAACCCAGGGAACCCUGAAUGCAUGACUCCACAUUUCCCCUGAAAAUGUGCAUGCUUGAAUUUCAGAAGUAUUUUGUGUGUUAAUGUGCUUUUUUUGCAUUGUGCAAAAAAAAAAAAAAAAAUUAAAAAAUAGGUUCGGUUCUUUUCCCAGUCGUCCAAAAUAAGAGUUUCAGUAUAGAGCAGGGGGAAAAAAGACAGUGACAUGCUUGACGUUGGAUAUAGGCGGCAGCAGCCGGUUAUCUGUCCAGAAGUUUCCAGCUCAUGCUUCCAAAACCUUUGCAAUUAGAGAAAAAACCUAAACCAGUGGUGUUCCCUAUUAUUCUUGUUUUAAGAUUCAAAAAAGGUGUCCACCAAACUUGUGCUAGGUCAGAAUCACCUGGAACCUGUAGCUUUCGAAUCUUUUCCCGGCAGCGUAACGACGCACUUGAUUCGUAUUGCAAAGGUGCUGCUAACGUAUCGUUUGACAGUCAGGCAACUUGGUACCCAUGGCUGGGGUUAAGCAAGCUACUAAGAGAGCUUUGGUUUUCGGAGUCAAGUGCAGUUUUGCUUGUUCUCAUGACCUGGAGCUGUUAAGCGAGACCCUGGAUUUGGAUCUUGCAAAAGAAGUCCUUAUCCUUCUCGAUUCAAGGCAAGCACCGUUGUCACUUGUUACAUGUAUGCCAAAAGGGAUUUAACUAGAAGCAGGAGCUCAUGAAUAACUGGUUAGAAAAGGCCGGCUGAAAUAUCACUGAGGUUUUGAUAGUGUAUAUUAUUCAGUCGGUAUUAAUAGCAUAUUCCCUCCCUCCUGUAAAAUAAGGGCUCCCACUGAUUUAAAUGCGUACGGGGGGUAGAGCAGCAUCUGCCUUGGACGAGUGGAAAAACCUCUCCAUUUACUGAGUUGCAUGAAAAAGAAAGACUUUGUCCUGAAUGAAAGUGAAAGUGAGCUCGUUGCCUAGCUGUCGUGCGAGGCUCCAGGGUGGACAAAAUGUUCUCACUCAAGACAGAUGACAGCUUGCCGAUAAGAGGGCCAACUUAUCACCAACCGCUCUGUGCUCGAUGAUUCUUUCUCAGAUGCUUAGUCUGUUGGAACAGCUUUAAAGUCUAAUGUGAUAUUGUAGGUUUGCCCCAACACGGCUUUCCCUCCUGUAUUUCAUACUUUAUGGCUUCAAGCCUCGGUCCUUUGAGAACAAAGCCCUUCAAUCUUUCUCAGAUCACCCAUGCAAACUUCCCUUUGUUUCUGGAAAUAAAAACCUGUACAUAAGUGACCUCUUGAAAGACUUGCCGUCCUUGAGUCUUACCGCAGAAAUUGUCCGUCACAGGCACAAAAAUAUGCAUUACAACCAGAAUGAUCCAUCAAAUCUUUUCUCAGCUAAUUAAACCAUCAUUGGAGCAGCAUUCUCCAUCACAGCCUGGGCUCUCAAGUUUGGCCCCAGCAAAAAAACUGUGCUAGGAAAGAAAUCUUCAGGUCUGGUCAGGUUUGAAAAUGUGUUGUUUUUAUUUCUGGAAGAAAAAGAAUAAGGAAAAUGAAGAAAUGAGCAAAGGAGGCUGAGCACUACAAGUACAUCUCGGAGCUCUGGAGAUGAGCCCAGUAGGUUAACAGGACAUUAUACAGUUGGUUGUAGCUCAGCAAAACAGGAUGCUGAAUUAAGCUGGGUGAACAAUUUGUAAUUAGUAAGUUAGGCCACUGAGACUUGGGGCCCUUUCAGACGUGCAGCCUCCUCGAAUGAAUUGCAUCUCGUCUUCUGUUUGCAAAUUGCCUGCAAGGCACAACGUCCUCGCAUGGCGUCGGUGGUCACAACCGUCUCUGGAUUCCUCAUAGGAAAGGGUUUAUCGCCUGCAGACUGUCCAUGCAUCUGUCAUUACAAAUGCACAUUAUGUCAAGGAAUAACAUGGACCAUGUGAUGCUGCAACUCUCUCCUAACUGGGUGAUGUUAUGCAUAGAAUUAAGCAAUGCCAAUCUGAAUUUCAGAGCGGAUAUUCAGCUCCAGUGUUUCAAAUUCACCAUGCUUUUGAAUGCCCAUUCAGGCAUCUGCACUACAAAUUAAUUUGCCUACCCACUCAUUCUAGGAAAGCCAGACUAUUUGUGGAAAGAGUAGCAUCAGAGUCCCAUCAAAAUUCAAAUUGGAUUGCGUAUUCAUGAGUCAUUUGUUGCAGCGCUCACCUAGCUCUGCACCCAGUGAGCAAUUCUUCACUCUUUAUAUGUCAGCGCAGUACUUAGCCUUGGUCCGUAGAAGCUGGCAUCUAGAAAAGAAAAGAGCAGAAAUCAAAGGAUUGAAAUGCUCCCAUUGAAAUUCAUUUGAAAUUCUUCCAUUCUCCCAGCUCCCAUUGAAAUUCGUUUGAGUCCUUCCCUUCCCCAUGGGAAGGUUUUGGCUCUUUCCUGAGAGCCAUUAGGGGCUGAUUCAUAGCAGGACGCUUGGACAAGCCUAAGUGGCCAGCCAAUUUAAGGGAGAUGUACAGGAUGGGACCAGAAGGAAGGGGUGAGUGAAAACAUGAAGCCUCCAAACUAGCUUGGGAAUGGGUGGAAAAAAUCAAAUUCUGGUGACUAUGGGAUAGUCCUCUCCGUUUCUCCCCGGAUGAGAAAAGAGCUCUCAUUAAAAUCACUUGAAGUGGCUCACGGUUUCAAAGCACCCUAAUGACUGUGCGUGGCUUUUUCACCACGAAGAAAUAAAACAAGUGAAAAUACAGGCUGCCGAUCAUCUGCUACAUUGAGCACCACAACUUUACAGAGGAAGAAAGGUAUAGCCUAAAAUGUCCCUCAAUUCACUGUCCAAACCUCUGAGGCGGUAACAUCUGGGUGCUUUAAGCAGCUGCAUCAAAUUCCAUGGAGGGCACUGUAGUUGCUUCUAACAUCCUGAAUAUGUGCAUUUUUUUAAUGAAUUAGCCAUGCAUGAUCUCUAGGACUGGGAUUCAAAUAUAAGCCUGCAUGAGUGAUUUUGUGAAUGCAGACCUAUACCAAGAGCUGUGCCCCAGAGAGGUGUUUAGGAGGGGUGCUUGCCACGCCGCCUCCUUCUCCUGCACCGCUCGCGUCUUCAGAGAGUUAACUUAAUUCCGGCUUUCAGGAGCGCGCUUCUGAGAUGCCACCAAAAAAAGUCUGCAUCUAAGCAGCAGUAACCUUUCCCAAACAACCUUUUCCACCUGACCUAGGCCUUUGCUGUUACAGUGCGUACUGUGUCAGGGUGUCCCAAUGGGCAGAGUGCAGCUGCACAUAAUAACCUCUGUAGCCAGAGACAAAAUGAGAUGUAGCCUUCAGACUCGCUCCUCCACAAACAUCAGCAACCCUCUCCCAAGGUCAAAUCCCCCCAGCAGCACUAAAGGAGCCUUCAGGGAACCCUAAGACUAACGAAGUGUGAAAUUCAGGGCUAAAUGCUCCUGCUGCAAACAAGGUGCCUCUUUACACAUGAACUGGUUAUUGCCCUGAAAUAGGGCAAGUAGCAACUUGUCUUUAAAGGAAUCAGCUUCAUUUUCUCCUGCCUCUCGGAAAGCCCUGCCAGUUCCCCGUACUAGUGAUGCUGCAGCUUCAUACAUCAUGCGGAUCAGAUAUGAUUUCAAAACCAUAUCAGCAAAGGAUUCACUUCCCCGCAACUUUUCAGGUUUCUGUGAAGAAGCAAUCGAACAAGACACACUCGCUUUUUCAUGAGGGAGCUACCCUGGUUUCAGUAGAUAAAUGUCUGCGUGUGGACUUUUCACUGGGAUUGUAUGCCCCACGCUCUCAAUUUGUCAUGCUCCUUUAGGGAAAACAUAUUAGAAAAAGGGGGAAAGACUCAAAAGUUGAAAGAACAAGAAGAACUACUUGAGUCGGCAUCUUUGGCAUCAAAUUCCAGUGAAAUAUUUCCCUUACUUCCUUUCUGCUUGGAAAUACGGUGCCAGUUCAGGCCUUGAUACAGCAAAACGCUUAAGCAUGUGCUUAGCAAUUAGCACACUGGUACACCAUUGGCUUCAAAUGCUCCCUAACAUCUUCUGGUAUCCCAUACACCUCCUUGGGAUUGAGGGCCUAAUCAUACAUGCUUUGCUAGGUGAAGGUUUUAGUGCUGUUGCAAAAUGUUGGAUGCUGUCUAUUUAUCCAGUGAAUAGCUAAAGGUAUAUCAUGGGCUGCUUUAGCUGUAGUCGAGGACCAAGUGCAAGGGUAUGAAAGCAGUUGGCCUCCAUGCCCAUUCAGCAUUCACUUGCAGUUGUCUCUAUGAUAAUUACCCCUUAUGGCUUUGAUUUUCUGGUGCACGCAUUUCUGUUAGGCACGGACAGACCAGACUGAUACAGUCCAUGUAGAGCACAAAGAGCUUACAUCGAUGGUGUUUGCUUUAUCAUAGUUUUCUUUUUCUUUUUUGGAUGCUUAUGCCUUUUAAAUAGCUCACCUCUUGGGAACCUUUCUUUUUUUCUUUUACCAAUUUCUCUUUAUUCUCUCUUUCUGUCUAUCCAUCCACCCCUGUUUUAUGUGAGUGCCAUCAUCUGAUCCAGGGCUGUAGGCUACUUUCUCAAGAUAUUUUGCUGGAAAAGGGAUAAAUAAUAAUCUCUCUAAUAUCCUGAAUUUAUGUCAAGCAAUGGCUUUUAGGUGAGGAUCCCAGGGUUACUUAUAAAUGUAUAAUUAAGUCUCCCUUUAAGCAAGAGGUGUAUUAUAUCCCUUGCACAGAUGGCUAGCUUGAAGCAUAGUAGUGGUAAAGAAGUUGCCCAAGACCUCUGAGGUAGUGAAUGGCGGAGACUGGAAUAAAAUCCCUGUGCCUGCAUGGCUAUCAAACUUUUGUUCUCUGGACUAGGCAACAGUUUGAAAUGUUAAUGGGGGAAGUGGCAAGAAGACUUGUAAGAGGUGCCCAUCCCCAAACAUAAAGAAACUCUGAACUCAUCAAGACUCUCUGAAAUGGGCUUGUCCACACAGUUAUUAAGAGCAAUGACUGUGACAGCAAAGCCAACUUCAGCUCAGGGGCAUGGAGAACGUUCAAACAGCGUGAAGGCUUUCAAGUCAUAUGAGCUAAGGAAAGACAUCCUGUCUUAUUAACAGGAGGCAUGUUCUUAUUAAAAGCCUAGUUCUUAUUAUAAAAAAAAAAAGCAAAGAAGCUAGAGGUCUGACCGAGGUUGUGGAAUGGAAAAUGGGCAUCCUCUGCUAGGUGGUAUGGAUAAUCUCAGACGCUGAGAGCAACCAUACUGGAGUUAUGCUAUAAGUAUGUAGUUUCAGUAAGUGCUUGAUGCUAAAUUCACAGAAUCUUUCUGGACUCUUGAUGAUUUCUUAUCAUCAUUUCAAAUAAUCCAUUGCCUUUUCACUGGAAAGAACAUCCCCUCCCCCCAGCUCAGAAAGGACAUGCUCAAAAGUCCAUGAAGUCAAUGGACAGACUCCUGUGGUCAGUGGACUUUGGAUGGGGCUAAAUGAGCAAUGUCCUCUUUCCCAAACAAAGCUUUUGUGCUCCCUCUGAAGGCGCGGUGGCAGAUGCUCACUAGCAAGUACUAUUCCCAGGGAAGCCCUGACAUCUUCAGUGAUGCUGACAAAGAUGAUUCUGGGCCAUAAGGUGCAAUAGACUGUACUAUAUGUUGUUAGAGUAAUUUGUCAUUAUGGUUAUUAAGCAAAAACAGCUAGUGACAUUUUAGCUCUUUUAGAAACACAGGAGAUAAAAAGGAAAAACCUGAAAAGGAACAAAGAAGUCCUGUUUGCAGGAGCUUGAAUUCUAUCUCUAAAUCAUAUAUAAUAUUAUAUACAAUAGGGAUAUUUAAAAAUGUAACUAGCUAUAUGGUCCAUUUAAUAAAAAAGGUAACUUCAAAUCAUUAGUUAUGCUCUUACAGCACCAGGCCCAGAUCCUGCAGCAUCUUCAGUGCACGUGGGACAUAAUUGGAUCACGAAUGACCGGAUACCAAACUCUGAAGGCAUGCGAAGUCUUCCCAUUUGUUUCAGCGAAUGUCAGAUCAGGCCCAUAAGGAGGUGUUGUAGAAGGGGAGGGUGGUAACUCGCACACAUUUGACACUUCUUGGGCAGAAAACUCAACUCAUUUACACAUGAUGGGCUUAAUAAUCCCUUUGAAACCAGUGGCCAAGCUCCCCUGGCUUUUAGAAGUGUGGAAACACCCAAGGGAAUGGAUGAGGAUGUGCAUAAAAGCAACCCAAAGAAGGGUGAAAUCCAAAGCCUUCCUUCGCCUAGAGUGCAUGAACAUCCCUAUCAGAAACGCUGCAAGCAGCAGCAUAACGGCCAUCUGUAUUGCUGGGCAGAAGACUUGUUAGGGGGUUACAAAGCAGCCUCUCCUACAAGGGGUGAUGGAGGGAGAAAGACAGUGCUGGAAAUGAAAGGAAAGAAGAGUGUCGCACGUGGCUCAGGUCUCUGGGUAGAGUCUGCUAAUUCUCACAGGUAAAAAUCCAGUGGAAAGACUCCAGUGCAGAUGUGAGCACAAUGGGAUACUUAGGGAUGGAUCAAGAAAACCAUCAAGAUCUACAUGCUUUUUACUGGGAAGGGCAGUGUGUUCCCAUCUUCCCAGCUGAGUGUUCAGCUAUACACAGGGGUAACGUUUUGUCUUGCAGGUAGGAGCAUGUUUUCUCAUGUUUUUGGAGGUGGAUAAAAGGCAAGCAAUUUAAACCGCCUCCAAAGUUGGCACUCUUAACAUCCCCUUACCCCUCAAAAGAAAGGAGAAAACCUCCCCCCCCUCCCCCCCCAAAACCUUCCUCCAUUUUUCAUUGAAAGACGGCAGCCUCCCAUAAAACAUUGGCUGCUCUUGAGGGAUGAAAUGGAGAUUUCUCCUGCUAAUUAUAAAAACGCCAGGCAAAAAACUGGCACGGUAUGAUUUCUUACAUUAAACAAAUUUUAUAGCAGCGAAGACUUUUAGUGGCGCUAUUUGCAGUUCUGGCAUUUUGCCAGCUUGCUGUCAUUAAAUCUGUCGAUCUUAAGUAUCAGCUGCACUUAUUCAAAGGAGAUAUAAAUAAAACUCUGAAGCAUAUUAAAGGAGCCUACCUACUUGCGCUGUUUUUCAAGACUGGGGCCUGACUGGCAUCAGGAGCCUUUGUUGAGAACUUUCUUCUGAUUGUCCCCUCGGGAUCUCAGUUGGUGCUGAGUACUACUGCACUGAGGGACUAGGACUCAGCCCCUCCAACAAAGGGCUUGAGGUCAGUCCACAUUUACACUGAAAAGCAGAAGUGACUCAUUUCCUUUGCAGAUCAACCCAUGACCUUGCAACCCAUGGGUUGCAGAUCAACCCAUCACCUCCUGGUCAACCUCCAAGUCCUGGGAUCUCCUGGUCAACCUCCUCCAGGCUCUAGCCAAGCUCACCCUCUAUCUAGCCAGGAAGGAGGCUCUUGCUGGGGGGAUCCCCAGUGCUUGUGGGGCCAUCUUCCAGCCCCUCAUCUACUCAUGUAUCAGGGCAGAGUUUCACUGGGAGGUAUCCACUGGCUCCUUGGGCUCAGUUGAGGGCCAGUAGGCAUUGCUUGGUGUCCCACCUUGGACCACUCGUUAUGAACCUUUAACCCUCACUCUCAUUCCUGUUUUUGCUUUAAUUGCCCCCACUACUCAGGUCUUAGGCAUUCAGUUGCCUUCCUAACUAAAGGAGGCUCAUUGUACCCCCCCCCUUGCAUAACAAUAGGCCUUUGCAGAUAGCUUUCUUAUUGAAACAGAGGGAUGUCCAGAACGUUUAAAUGGAAAAAGAAUAAAUAAGAAUGAAAUGGCAUUUAUUUAAGCCCAGGCUGUUUCUUGGUGGGAUUCUGCACUACUUUACCCUUUGACUGUCUGCAGUGAUAGAGGAAUGGGGUGGGGAAACAGGAGUUGGAAUAUUACCCAAGACAAGGAGGUGUUUUAAUGUAAAAAUAUGACAUAAGUCACCAUCCGCGAGACAUUUAUAUGCCAUUAGUCACAUUUUUACUCAAGACGGUGACCUUUCUGUGAUAAGAUCUUGAAUCUGGCUAAUUAUAGAUCCCCCAACCCACAAUGUACAAAUGUCCCGUGCCGCAGAGAAGCCGGGGUAGGUCGACACAGGCAGGCUCUGCCAGGGCUGUGACAAUAUAACUUUGUGUCAGUAGCAAAGCCCUUAUGAAAAAUUGCCACCCAUAAUGUAUGGUUAAUGACCCAUGUUGCAGAAAUGACUAAAAUGCAGGAAUUAAAUUUACAGUCAACCCCAAACCCAUGAGUUUUCUUUUUUUUCUUCCUGAAACCUUGAAACUGAGGUCCCUAAUCACAAAAAGUCCAUGAAAGCCCUUAGCAGCAUCCAAUCAGGUUGGACUACUGCAGCCAUGUCACAGAAGUGAAAGUGUCUCCUUGUCACCGUGCCAGGUGUGACACAGGCCUGCAUAAGUGACAGGGGGAAUUGAUGACACAAUCACGGGAAAGCUUGCAGACGAUGCUAGCCAUAUUUAUUUAAGUGCAAACUAAUGAAAUCUAGAGGUUUUAGGGGGGAAAUAAAAGGUUUGAAUUAAAAAUGAGGUUUCGCGAGCAAAACUUAUAACGAAUGUCAAAUGAUCUGGACUCAGCAGAAAGCAUUGGAGGCAAGCUCCUUGGACUUGGUCCAGAGAGGACACCACCUUCCCUCAGGAAGAAUUUAUCAUGGAUAUUUCCCCUCCCACACACAGCUGCAUGGGCCAUCUCCCUUCCCAGCUACAGUCACAAAAUACUCCUGACCAGAGCAACUUCCUUGGAAAAAAAUCAUUGCAGAAACUUAAAGAUGCAUCAUUAACACCUUUUUGCCCACUAGAAACAACAGAUUGCAAUAUGACCCCAGCUUUCAGAUGUGCUAAAUUGCAGUAAUGCCAAAUGAAGCCCCAAAACUAAAGACCCCCACACCCAGACUGCUCUGCACCUAAUAAAAGCCCAUUCCCCCCACCCCCCCAAACCACUGAUCCCCUGGCUGAGCUGAGGUGGUGGAGAUUUAUAGCUGUCCCCCCAAGAGAAGGCACCAUCCAGCCCUUGCUGAUGUUGCUUUUAAUUACAAGCUAAUCAGAGGGGAUUAUUCUUGAUCUCACAAAGGUUCUUCAUAUAAAAGCCCUGUAAACCCAUUCAAGUGCUGGGGGCUAACCGAAAGGUAAUAGGAACGUAUCCAAAUGGAAAACAUCUGUAUGGGUUUCACCACCCCUUCUCAUUCAAAACACAUGGAGAAUUCCCAGUCCUCCAGCAAUCCUCCGGAAACACCUCGUUCAGCUUUUUGGUGGAUCGGACAGGGGAGGCUGGCAGAUGGGCUGACCAAUGCAGUGUGAAGUUACUAGCCGUGCCCCCUCAAUCUGCUAUAAAUUCAGGCCACAUGGGGGAUUUAUACAUACAUACAUGCUGCCAAGGCAGUUGCUGUUACCUUUGCAGUGUAGCAAGGUUUCUGCUAAUUUGGGUCCUUUUUCCUUUAGUUCUGUUUAAAGCUUCUCUCUGUUUUUCUUCUCUAUUCCAGGUAAAGGUACUCUCCUGUUUCUUUGUAGGUGACUUAGAGAAUAUAUCUCUGAUAUAAAAUAGCAAUCUAGGCUGAAUUUUAGUGUUCAGACUUUCAGUUCAGGAAGCAAUUAGAGUCAGUGCUGGCAAUGAAUGAAAGCAGAUGGUCAAAAGUGACCAGAUAAACCCCUGUUCAGCUGCAAAUAGGGGCUUACUUUAUUGCCCUGAAAGCAGGGUAGGCAAUAUGACCAUUUACUCGCUUGAAAAAGUCUUCACUAAAAGCACUGCUAUUAUUUGAAUGAGGCUGAUGCAUCUUUAUUUAAGGGAGAGACCAAAACCAAAGCACAGCUAUCCAGCUGCUGACUGGCUUUAAGGGAGCUUUUCUAUUGCUACAUCUGAACAAUAAUCAGUUUUAUUGGAAAAAUGAUACCGGCUCUUAUUACUUUAAUGGAGGCUUACAGCGGAGUGUGAAACUUUUCUCAUUGAGGGCACCACUCCUUAAGAGAGGGAUUAAUUUAGGAGCCAUUCAUCUCCCAUUUGCCACUGCUGCCUCAUGAGUGCUCAACUUCCCUAUAGCAAUUGCCUGCCUGCAAAAGAAGUCGAAGGGAAGUAUUUAAUGCAGCUGCAGCUGUCUUAAUGAAAUGCAGCAGAUGGAAUUGAGAGAGACAGCUAGCACCAUCUGACCAGCGCUGUGACUUGCUGAGAGUCACUAGUAAAUGUGCUAGAGCUCACCAGCGAGGGAGAGCGGUAACACGUGCGUGUCUCAGGGUACCUGCUCGGUGCUCAGCCCUAGGGCUCUUUAAAGCUUGGAGCAGUAGUUAGUCUCCCCAAGGCAAAAUACAGAAGGAAGGAGAAGCUGGUCCAAAGAGAAAUAUGGGAAGCAUAUUUCCUAUAUGUCUCCACUCUUGGCUGACCAAAACCAGUGCAUUUCAGUUGAAUCGUUUUUCUUUUCGGACCUGAUUAGCACGUAAUAAAUAAGCUCUGGGGACAAGACUCACAAAAGGGAUGACGUUUGAAGCUUCAUUUCUAUCCCUAGCAGGCAAAGUUUCCCAGCAGUUUGCAGGUCCACAAGCUUAAAUGCAUGGAAGUAUAUGAGAGUGUGAUGCAUCACUGCCAUCGCACUUGCACUCGAUGCGGCUGUGCAGGAAGGCUGUAUUUAAAAAAUCGCUGGGCACACAAGUGUGCAUAUGCUUCAGCAUGUGGCCAACUUUCAGCUGCACGGUCUCCAGGCAUCUCUCCCAGAAUCUCCCAGUUUCUGUCUUAAUCUGGCUCAGAUUUCCAGUAUUCCUCCUGUCCCCAAGCCUUAAAAAAGACCACCCUGCUCUGUGGCCUCUUAUUUCCAUCCUCCCCCGAAAACCUAGUUCAAAGCCCUCCUCACUAGGUUGGAAAGACUAUGGGACUCUUCACUCACAAUACCCCAAAUUAAAAAAAAAAAA